AUGCACGCUGGCGGCGUGCCUCAUACAUGCAAGUCGAGCGAACAGACGAGGAGCUUGCUCCUCUGACGUUAGCGGCGGACGGGUGAGUAACACGUGGAUAACCUACCUAUAAGACUGGGAUAACUUCGGGAAACCGGAGCUAAUACCGGAUAAUAUAUUGAACCGCAUGGUUCAAUAGUGAAAGACGGUUUUGCUGUCACUUAUAGAUGGAUCCGCGCCGCAUUAGCUAGUUGGUAAGGUAACGGCUUACCAAGGCGACGAUGCGUAGCCGACCUGAGAGGGUGAUCGGCCACACUGGAACUGAGACACGGUCCAGACUCCUACGGGAGGCAGCAGUAGGGAAUCUUCCGCAAUGGGCGAAAGCCUGACGGAGCAACGCCGCGUGAGUGAUGAAGGUCUUCGGAUCGUAAAACUCUGUUAUUAGGGAAGAACAAAUGUGUAAGUAACUAUGCACGUCUUGACGGUACCUAAUCAGAAAGCCACGGCUAACUACGUG
rnacentral:rRNA from 1 species